GGAGAGCCACCUUGUGACGCCCCUUCUGCCUCUCACCAGCUUCCCCCUUUCUCCCCGUCCUGUACGGUUCCCCCUGGAGCCAGAAGGAAGCCCGGUGCCAGCCAGCCUUCCUGAAAGACCAAGCCCGCGCCAUCCGGCUUCCUCCAGUGGACGCCUGCAGGACCCAGGAACACUACAUCAACACUGUUGGCGGGGACCUGGACACAGAAGACUCCUGUUUCAAGAAAAUACAAUCAUCUCUCAAAGGCUGUAAUUUAUAUGCAUUUUAAAACUCUAGGCAUUGAAAACCACCCAAGUGUCCCAAAUAGAAGGGUAAUAUAUAAUCAAUCACU
rnacentral:lncRNA from 1 species